AUGGCUGAGGGUGGUGCAGAUAAUUAUUUUCUUGGGAUUGGACGGGGGAAAUAUCUGAUGCAGUUUUCUGAUAACAAGCCAGGGUUGGGUGAAUUUGACUGUAAGACUGACAUUCAUGCUGGUAAUGGGAGAAAUUAUAUGGCUCAUGAUGUACAUAAGACUCUCCCUCUUACUUCUACUCCGAAGCCAUGUAAUGUGGAAAGUUCUAGUGAUCAAGGCGUCAGUGAAUUAGGUGCUUUAGUUAAAGAAUUGGGCCGACAAAUUGGUGACUCAGUCACAGCCAAACUUUUGUCAGGGGGUGAAUUUGCCAGAACCAAUAAUGGUAGUAACACCACAGGCUCUCAGUGUGCUAAUCUUGAUUUGUCACAGUUGAAUGUCGUUCUGAAAUCAGAUGAAAAAGUCCCAUCAGUGUUUAGGGGGGAUGGUUUAGGUAGACAUGACAUUCAAGAAUGGGUUGAGAUGAUGCAAGUUUACCUGCAGAAGAGAAAUGUCAAAAUUACCGAACAGGCUGAUGAGAUUAUUAGUCAUCUAAUGGGCAGGGCUAAAGACAUUGUGAAAGUAGCCCUACGCAGCAACCCUGCGCUUGACUGCACAAAUCACCCUGAGAUUAUAUACAGCAUACUUAAGCAACACUUCAGUGAAGUGUCCUGCUCCAGCAUGCCACUCGCAGACUUUUACAGCACAUUGCCCAAACACGGCGAAAAUCCUGUUGACUACUGGCUUCGCCUUAAUAAAGCAGCAGAUAUAGCUGACGAGUGUCUCAGAGGGCAGGGCAGAAGAAUGGACAAUUUAAAUUCUGAAGUUGCAAUGAUGUUUGUGAGAAAUUGCCCAGACCCUGAUCUAGCACGCACUUUUAAAGUACGGCCGUUAGAAUGCUGGACUGCAAAAGAUGUCCAGGAGCUUUUAGAUAGUUUCCAACGUGAGCUUAAGCUAAGAUCAAGCACCAACGCCUACCCAGUCAGCCAAAAUGCACACACGACCAUACAGAGCUGUGGAAAUUCUUACGUUGUUUCUGAGUCUACAUUAAUGUGUCUCAAGCAGGGGACCAACGGGCCUGGUGAGCCUAAACUGGAUGCAAAUGAUCACUCCAGUCUGAAUCGGAUGGCUGACAUUCUGGCUCAGCUAAUUGAAGUUUUAAAGGCAAAGGAGGAGCGUAAACCUGAGUAUGUGUCUUCUGGGAGAGUGCGUAGAAGGAACACAGUUGGACCAAGCAACUGUAAGAUUUGA
rnacentral:lncRNA from 1 species